rnacentral:rRNA from 1 species
AACAACAGGGAUUGCCCUAGUAACGGCGAGUGAAGCGGCAACAGCUCAAAUUUGAAAUCUGGCCUUAGGGUCCGAGUUGUAAUUUGUAGAGGAUGCUUUUGGUGCGGUACCUUCCGAGUUCCCUGGAACGGGACGCCAUAGAGGGUGAGAGCCCCGUACGGUUGGAUACCUAGCCUCUGUAAAGCUCCUUCGACGAGUCGAGUAGUUUGGGAAUGCUGCUCUAAAUGGGAGGUAAAUUUCUUCUAAAGCUAAAUACCGGCCAGAGACCGAUAGCGCACAAGUAGAGUGAUCGAAAGAUGAAAAGCACUUUGAAAAGAGGGUUAAAUAGCACGUGAAAUUGUUGAAAGGGAAGCGCUUAUGACCAGACUUUUGUCCGGCGGAUCAUCCGGUGUUCUCACCGGUGCACUUCGCCGGGCUGAGGCCAGCAUCGAUUUCUGUAGGGGGAUAAAGACUUCAGGAAAGUAGCUCCCUUCGGGGAGUGUUAUAGCCCGUUGUGUAAUACCCCUAUAGGGAUCGAGGUUCGCGCAUCUGCAAGGAUGCUGGCAUAAUGGUCAUCAGCGACCCGUCUUGAAACACGGACCAAGGAGUCGAACAUUUAUGCGAGUGUUUGGGUGUUAAACCCUCACGCGUAAUGAAAGUGAACGGAGGUGAGAGCCCUUACGGGUGCAUCAUCGACCGAUCCUGAUGUCUUCGGAUGGAUUUGAGUAAGAGCAUAACUGUUCGGACCCGAAAGAUGGUGAACUAUGCGUGGAUAGGGUGAAGCCAGAGGAAACUCUGGUGGAGGCUCGCAGCGGUUCUGACGUGCAAAUCGAUCGUCAAAUCUGCGCAUGGGGGCGAAAGACUAAUCGAACCAUCUAGUAGCUGGUUACCGCCGAAGUUCCCCCUCAGGGAUAA